rnacentral:rRNA from 1 species
UAUUAUACUAACGAAUAUAAAAGAAAUCUGAAAUAUUAAUAGAUACAUACUUUAAAUUUAAAGAAUUUGGCGGUAACUUAGUCUUGUUAGAGGAACCUGUUUUUUAAUCGAUACACCACGUAAAAUUUUACUCAUCUUAAUAAAAGUUUAUAUACCAUCAUUAUCAGAUAAUUUUAUAGAAAAUUAAUUAUUAAACCUUAAAGAAGUUAACUUAAAUUAGAUCAAGGUGUAGCCUAUAGAUGAGUUAAAAUGGGUUACAAUAAAACUUAUUUAAAACGAAGCAAGUGUGAGAAACACCUUGUAGAAGGAGGAUUUAAUUGUAAUGAAAGUUUAGUAUGCUAAAAAGAUAUGAGCUCUAGGUUAU